rnacentral:rRNA from 1 species
AUUGAACGCUGGCGGCAUGCUUUACACAUGCAAGUCGAACGGUAACAGGUUAAGCUGACGAGUGGCGAACGGGUGAGUAAUGCAUCGGAACGUGCCCGAUCGUGGGGGAUAACGCAGCGAAAGCUGCGCUAAUACCGCAUACGAUCUGAGGAUGAAAGCGGGGGACCGUAAGGCCUCGCGCGAUCGGAGCGGCCGAUGUCAGAUUAGGUAGUUGGUGGGGUAAAGGCUCACCAAGCCAACGAUCUGUAGCUGGUCUGAGAGGACGACCAGCCACGCUGGGACUGAGACACGGCCCAGACUCCUACGGGAGGCAGCAGUGGGGAAUUUUGGACAAUGGGCGAAAGCCUGAUCCAGCAAUGCCGCGUGCAGGAGGAAGGCCUUCGGGUUGUAAACUGCUUUUGUACGGAGCGAAAAGGCCCUCUCUAAUACAGGGGGCUCAUGACGGUACCGUAAGAAUAAGCACCGGCUAACUACGUGCCAGCCGCCGCGGUAAUAC